GAUGAACGCUGGCGGCGUGCCUAAUACGUGCAAGUCGAGCGAACAGACGAGGAGCUUGCUCCUCUGACGUUAGCGGCGGACGGGUGAGUAACACGUGGAUAACCUACCUAUAAGACUGGGAUAACUUCGGGAAACCGGAGCUAAUACCGGAUAAUAUAUUAAACCGCAUGGUUCAAUAGUGAAAGACGGUUUUGCUGUCACUUAUAGAUGGAUCCGCGCCGCAUUAGCUAGUUGGUAAGGUAACGGCUUACCAAGGCAACGAUGCGUAGCCGACCUGAGAGGGUGAUCGGCCACACUGGAACUGAGACACGGUCCAGACUCCUACGGGAGGCAGCAGUAGGGAAUCUUCCGCAAUGGGCGAAAGCCUGACGGAGCAACGCCGCGUGAGUGAUGAAGGUCUUCGGAUCGUAAAACUCUGUUAUUAGGGAAGAACAAAUGUGUAAGUAACUAUGCACGUCUUGACGGUACCUAAUCAGAAAGCCACGGCUAACUACGUG
rnacentral:rRNA from 1 species